rnacentral:tRNA from 1 species
GCCCCCAUAGCCCAAUUGGCAGAGGCAACCGGCUUAAAACCGGUCUGUUGCGAGUUCGAGUCUCGCUGGGGGCACCA